rnacentral:misc_RNA from 1 species
GGAAGUAGUAUAUCUUGUGACUACUAGAAUUUGGUCUAUGUUUCGUCAAGAAAUGCCAUUGGGUUAGUUGUUUGAUGGUCAAGUGCCUGCCUCAUAGUGCAGGAUGCGAGGGUUUCUAACUUUGAACCAUUUACAUGUGAAUCUAAAGAGCAAGCAGCUCCACAUAUUUCUGUUACAUGCUGAUGUGUUGAUGUUCUACCCUUGUUAUCCAUCUACUCAUAUCAUUCAGAUUUGCAUUUCAGGUGUGCCAAAGCUUAGGAGAUCU